rnacentral:lncRNA from 1 species
GGCGGAUCCAGAACCUUGAUGUCUGGGGGGGGGGGGGGGGGGCACCAUCAAACCAAAAUUUUAGAUUUUUUAGAGAUGUAUAUACGGUAUAUGCGAGUGUGAGUGUUUGUUUUUUUGGUUGUUGUUUUUUAAAAGGGGAGAGGGUCAGAUCAUCGUUUCUAUAUCUCUAUAUUUCUAUAUUUUUUUUAUUGUUUUUACAAUUUCACUUUAUACUUUCUUUUCCUGCCAAUUGAUCUGUUAUUAUAUUUGUCCUCAACAUGCAUCAAAUAUUUGCCACUGGACGUUAAACAACAUACAAUCAAUUAAUAUUUUCUUCAUCACCUCUAUAUUUUUUUGGCCUUGCUUCCA